rnacentral:rRNA from 1 species
GGUUAAGUGACUAAGCGUACACGGUGGAUGCCUUGGCAGUCAGAGGCGAUGAAGGACGUAGUAACUUGCGAUAAGCGUAGAUGAGGCAGUAACAGCCACUUGAGUCUACGAUUUCCGAAUGGGGAAACCCACUGGCAUAAGCCAGUAUCAUUGAGUGAAUACAUAGCUCAAUGAAGCGAACCGGGAGAACUGAAACAUCUAAGUACCCCGAGGAAAAGAAAUCAACCGAGAUUCCGAAAGUAGCGGCGAGCGAAAUUGGAUUAGCCCUUAA